GAUGAACGCUGGCGGCGUGCCUAAUACAUGCAAGUCGAGCGAACAGACGAGGAGCUUGCUCCUCUGACGUUAGCGGCGGACGGGUGAGUAACACGUGGAUAACCUACCUAUAAGACUGGGAUAACUUCGGGAAACCGGAGCUAAUACCGGAUAAUAUAUUGAACCGCAUGGUUCAAUAGUGAAAGACGGUUUUGCUGUCACUUAUAGAUGGAUCCGCGCCGCAUUAGCUAGUUGGAAGGUAACGGCUUACCAAGGCAACGAUGCGUAGCCGACCUGAGAGGGUGAUCGGCCACACUGGAACUGAGACACGGUCCAGACUCCUACGGGAGGCAGCAGUAGGGAAUCUUCCGCAAAGGGCGAAAGCCUGACGGAGCAACGCCGCGUGAGUGAUGAAGGUCUUCGGAUCGUAAAACUCUGUUAUUAGGGAAGAACAAAUGUGUAAGUAACUAUGCACGUCUUGACGGUACCUAAUCAGAAAGCCACGGCUAACUACGUG
rnacentral:rRNA from 1 species